rnacentral:piRNA from 1 species
CGGGAAGGAAGAGAAUUUUACAG